rnacentral:misc_RNA from 1 species
UAACGCACCUUGCGCUCCUUGGUAUUCCGAGGAGCAUGCCUGUUUGAGUGUCAUGAAAACCCUCAACCUUAGAUUGGUUAUUUGACCUUUCUUUGGCUUGGAUUUGGACGUUUGCCGAUGAUAAGUCGGCUCGUCUUAAAAGUAAUAGCUGGAUCUGUCUCGCGACAUGGUUUGACUUGGCGUAAUAAGUAUUUCGCUAAGGACAUCUUCGGAUGGCCCUGUUGCAGACUAAAGACCGCUUUCUAAUCCAUUGAUCUUCGGAUUAAUAUUCAUAACAUCUGGCCUCAAAUCAGGUAGGACUACCCGCUGAACUUAA